UCACUCACAAAGUCACAGCAGAAAGAGAGGGGGGGGGCGAGAGACAGAGACCAGAGUGUGAGUGAGAGAGCACAGGAUUGGACCGAUGGAGAGAGAGGACUUUAACCAACGUAAAGCCCGUCUUUGCUGCAUCUUUGGAGGGAAGAUAUGAUGCUCGGAGAGUGACGAAGAGUUUCAACAGUUUCUGGUGUUCAACGGAUUUCAGAGCAGACUGAAUGUUAGAGUGUGAGCUCCUUCUGAGUCACGGCAGUAGUUCCUGUUUGCUUUGUGAGUAAAGAAAAAGAGGAAGAUAUGCAAACAUGGAAAGGUAAUAAAACAGAGUUACCAGUAAAGGUAAUAGGAAAAUAGGAACUGUCUCAGAGCACACACACACACACACACACACACACACCACCAUCAGGUCCCAUUGUUAUAGUAGAAAGUUUGUUGUACUUUGAAUAGAGGGAGUGGAAAGAGUCAGAGAAAGAGAGAGAGUGAAAGGGAGAGAGAGAGAGAAAAAGAGAGAGAGAGACUUAAACACCAAAAAAGGUCUUGAGUCCGAGCUGGAGAAAGUGCAGGCUUGACAGAUGCUGCACAGCCAUGGGGAGCCACAGUAGAAGGGCAGCGACGGCAGCGACAGAGAUGGACAGACAGAGGGACGGGGGAAGUGACUCAUAAAGACAAAAGGAGGGAGGAAAAAGUGUGACAACAGAAGAGGAAAUGUGAUCUGUACGAAGAGGAUGUUGACACAGAAAACACACAGUCUCCCGUACAGGCAGCAGGUAUAGAGAAAAGGGCAGGACCAGAGGGGCAGGGUGGGGUCAGGUGCCAACACACAGACCCCGUGUGUGUCUGUGAGCGUGCGUGCAGCCAGAAGGAGUGUGACUGUAAAUGUGACUCUCCAAGGGAAACCAAACAGUGAGGUAACAGCUGAUCCACCUUGGCCUGCAGUCAGUUCAACGAUCCAUGGACACAAGUGUUGGGUUAAAGCGCUGAACCAACACGUACCCACUGGCCCUCAUGUCGACUGGUCCCGGCCGUGGGGCCCCUGGCCUGGCAGAGGGCCCCCAGACGACGGGACCUGUCGGUCUGCAGACCCUUCUGGACCUGCUGGUGGGCGUCUACCAGGAGUUCUGUUCCUCACCCUUUGCACAGGAGAAAUAUGUCUGUGGUUUUCUGCAGUGGGCUGAACCUUUGGUGAGGCAGGUAAAGAGGACCCGGAUCAAAAGAGAAGACUUUCACAUUCUCAAGGUGAUUGGCCGAGGAACGUUCAGUGAGGUCGCCGUGGCCAGGAUGCGAAGCACGCAACAAGUGUACGCUCUGAAGAUUAUGAACAAGUGGGACAUGCUGAGGAGAGGAGAGACAGCGUGUUACCAAGAGGAGAGGGAGGUUCUACUGAAGGGCGACAGACGCUGGAUCACAGAAUUGCACUACGCCUUUCAGGACGACAACUAUCUGUACCUGGUGAUGGAUUACUACGUUGGGGGGGACCUGUUGACCUUGCUUAGUAAAUUUGGAGACAGGAUCCCUGAAGACAUGGCUCAGUUCUACUUGGCUGAGAUGGUCAUGGCCAUUGACUCUGUCCACAAACUGGGUUAUGUGCACAGAGACAUCAAACCUGACAACAUCCUGCUGACUGCUGAUGGACACAUCAGACUGGGGGACUUUGGUUCCUGUCUCAGGCUGCUGGAUGAUGGGAUGGUUCACUCAUCACUAGCUGUCGGAACUCCAGACUAUUUGUCUCCAGAGAUUCUAGCAGCGUUAGAAGGAGGGGUGGGCUAUGGUCCUGAAUGUGACUGGUGGGCUCUGGGCGUCUGUGCCUAUGAGAUGAUGUUCGGAACCACACCCUUCUACGCCGAGUCCCUCUCAGAAACCUAUGCCAAGAUCAUCCACUUUAAGGAAUAUUUUGAGUUCCCUCCAUCUGGACCUCAGAUAUCAGACAAGGCCCAUUCAUUCAUCGCCGGACUCAUCUGUGACAGGGAAAUCCGUCUGGGGAGAAAAGGUUUUGGCGACUUCAGGAGCCACCCGUUCUUCUCUGGACUAGACUGGGGUUCACUGCAUAAGAUCUCUGCCCCGUACCUACCUGACGUCUCUAAUCCAACAGAUACAUCCAACUUUGACAUCCUGGAUGACUGUCUCAGUGACGCAGAGACACUGUCGGAUGUACUGCACAGCGCACCAAUCGGAGUACACUUGGCUUUUGUGGGAUAUUCUUACACUGCCACUAGGCAGACUGGUGCCAUGGACCGCAGUCAAGACAUCAUGAUGCAGAUCGACUACACCAGGCUGAGGGAGUACGGUGGUUUGUACACAGCCCAGAAACUGAGCCAGCUGUUGCAUCUCACAGAUACCCUGCCAGACUCCCUGUCUGCUUUACUAGAGCCCCCGCUCACUGUGGGCCAAGGAUGUACCUGUUCCACGUCCACGCAAACUACCACUGAGGAGAUAGAGGAGGAGGAGGAGGAGGGAGGAGCGGAGCAGUUAUCAGUACUUGAUAAAGACCUGCAGCGCAGGCUGAAGGAAGCAGAGCAGAGACACUCUGAGCUGGAGAAGAAAAUGGAGAUGCUGAAGCAGGAGAUGCAGGAGUGGAGAGUCCCCACAGACACAGGCGAGGAUCAGUGUCGACUGUCAGACUUGAAUCUCUACCCAGUAUCCCUUACUCUGCCUGCUCACUGUGUGGAAGCACCCGGGGAUAGGAGGAGUGCGCCCCCAGCUUGUCAUUAUCCGUUGGUGAUUCAUCUUCACCGCCACCUGCUCCUGUUUCACAGGGUUCACCUCCCACGGGUGAUGAGUGAGUCGUACCUGCUGGUUUGUGCAGAAGGGGGGGAGGUGGAGGCCUGGGGGAGACGCUGUUCUAACGAACUGUCCUGAAUGCAUUUUCAGGAAGCACAUGCCUGGAACUUGUUCCAUAUCAGCAGGAUGACGGACUGACACUCUGCUCAUCCCUCUCUCUCUCUCUCUCCGUCCUGCUCAUCAGCCUAGAAAAAGUUCAGAGGAGGACAAGAAGUAAAACACGAGAACGAAAAAGACUCGGACAACAAUCUCAGGUACAAUUGUGGAACCCAGAGCCAGGGACGCGGUGGUGCUGGACCUGAUCCUUGUGGUCAUCUGGUGAAGGUAACAGUACCCAGUACAUCACUCACACUCAAAUCUAACACGUCCACCAUUAAGAUCUAACUUUGUUCCCAUAUUUUAUCUAACUUUUUAACCCUUUGAACCCCAAUAGAUGU